rnacentral:RNase_P_RNA from 4 species
GUCCUGUAUUGGAUGCUACUCUUCUGGCUUUGGUCGGAGGGGAGGAAAGUCCGAACACACAGCUCCGGCUUCGGUCGGAAUUAAACGUAGUGGGUAACGCCCGUCCGGCGCAAGUCGCGAGGUGCGAACAGUGACGAAACCCUUCAGUGGGAGUGAAACGGGGCCGACGUAAAGUCGUGCCCUCCGACCCUUAAGUUUUCUUGAGGCGUCGGAGCAAAAUCCUUACGCGUGUGCAAGAUCGUGUCCCUCACCAAUUUUUACAAAUUGGUGAGGGAAGAAUCGCUUGAGUCCGGGAGCAAUUUCGGACCUAGAUAAAUUGCAUCAUCCCGCCCUUGGCGGGAAACAGAAUUCGGCUUAUAGAUACAGAACCAAA